CCCUCCACGUUCUUUGGUCUCGUGUUGUGUUCGUUUUAAAUCUCCUCUGUCCCCUCUCGUUUCGUUCUUAAGUAAGGCGAGCUCGGGAUCUAAAUCGCAUCCGAGUUCCCAUAAAAUCCCUCGUCCUCCUCGCGUUCCCUCAGUCUCCUUCAAUCGAGCGAGUGAUCUCGAGCUCGACCGAUUCCGUGAAGCCACGAAGCCGGAAAAGAGGACGAUUUUCGCGAGGCGAGACGAUCUGAUUUUUCUUCCGUUCUCCAGCUUUAAUUUUAGGGUUCUUUCUUUGAAUUCGGCUUCCAUAGAGACUACGAGUGUUGGAUGCCUGGAUUGCAGUGGCGAACGAGGGAGCGGCCCGAAUUUCUCUUGGGAUGUCUAGGGUUGUUUUGCUGCAAUUGGUAGACUAAACUUGGGAUUUCGGAAUCUUUUCUUUGAAGGUGGUUGGGGUUCUAGCGGUGCUUGCUUCGUCCUUUGUUGUACGAGAGACGCAGAAAAUGGUUGGGAUGCAUGUGGCCAUAGUACGAGACGUGGCAUUGCUCGUCCCUGAUCUUUUGUAGCUCUCGGAAAUGUCUCAGUUGGCUCCGAGUGACAACCCUAAAUCAGCCGACGAACUGUUCUGCCAGUGGCUUUCACUACUAGAAACCAGCAAACUGGAAUAUGAAAAAUUCUACUUUGACAGAGUGGGACGGCUUUGCACAUAGAGAAUAGAGAAUAUAUCAGGUUGUCUAUGGAGGAAGAUGGUUAAGAUACCUGGAACGGAAGAGAUGUUUGGCAUGAAUCACUUCAUCCCCCCUUUUGAAAACAAGCUAUUGUCAAAGCUACCCUAGAACAGCUUCAUAGCUUUUCAAGGUUGUUCUCCGCAGGCAACUUGGCAUCGGCAUUCACUUCAUUAUUGCUGUCCCCAUGGCUCCACACAGAAAGAUUGCCAAUGCAACAAUGAACCAGAAACAUGUGAGUGUGUUCUCUGAUCAUGGAUGGUGGUGUUGUAUUAUUUAGGGAAUAGAAGCAUGAGUUAAAUUGUUUCUUUGCUCAAUCACUUGAACACAAAGACUGGGAAUGUAACAUGUCGAACUCAGAAAUUAGCCAAGUGACCAUUUUUGUGAUUGUUUGUAAUUAUCAGAGACCGAUUCAGGUUCAGAAAUGCUUCAAUGUUAAAACUUUUCUGAAGAUUGAUAAUAAUAUUAGGUU